rnacentral:rRNA from 1 species
UGGGGAAUCUUCCGCAAUGGACGAAAGUCUGACGGAGCAACGCCGCGUGAGUGAUGACGGCCUUCGGGUUGUAAAGCUCUGUUAAUCGGGACGAAAGGCCUUCUUGCGAAUAGUUAGAAGGAUUGACGGUACCGGAAUAGAAAGCCACGGCUAACUACGUGCCAGCAGCCGCGGUAAUACGUAGGUGGCAAGCGUUGUCCGGAAUUAUUGGGCGUAAAGCGCGCGCAGGCGGAUUGGUCAGUCUGUCUUAAAAGUUCGGGGCUUAACCCCCCCGUGAUGGGAUGGAAACUGCCAAUCUAGAGUAUCGGAGAGGAAAGUGGAAUUCCUAGUGUAGCGUAGCGGUGAAAUGCGUAGAUAUUAGGAAGAACACCAGUGGCGAAGGCGACUUUCUGGACGAAAACUGACGCUGAGGCGCGAAAGCCAGGGGAGCGAACGGGAUUAGAUACCCCGGUAGUCCUGGCCGUAAACGAUGGGUACUAGGUGUAGGAGGUAUCGACCCCUUCUGUGCCGGAGUUAACGCAAUAAGUACCCCGCCUGGGGAGUACGACCGCAAGGUUG